CAGCCGCCGGCGGUAAUACGGAGGGUGCAAGCGUUAAUCGGAAUUACUGGGCGUAAAGCGCACGCAGGCGGUUUGUUAAGUCAGAUGUGAAAUCCCCGAGCUUAACUUGGGAAUGGCAAUGGAUACUGGCAAGCUAGAGUGUGUCAGAGGAUGGUGGAAUUCCCGGUGUAGCGGUGAAAUGCGUAGAGAUCGGGAGGAACAUCAGUGGCGAAGGCGGCCAUCUGGGACAACACUGACGCUGAGGCACGAAAGCGUGGGGAGCAAACAGGAUUAGAGACCCCAGUAGUCCCUGUCUCUUAUA
rnacentral:rRNA from 1 species